rnacentral:misc_RNA from 1 species
UCGGGUGUCCAGGCGCCGGAUCUGAGCGAACGUCUCAGCCGGUUAGCUCAUGGGUGGAACAUUGACAUUGGUGCGGAGCCGAACGGCUCGAACUCAGUACGCCUCCUCGGAGGAAGGAACGGUUCGGAUCACUAGGCGCCGCACAUGCACGCUGUUGGGUCCUGAGGGACCGGGCCUCAUCGGAUGAUGAGAACUGGACCUCUGGACCUUUUCUUGUCGGCAUCACUUGCCGAGCGGAGAAGGUACCGCCCGUACUUUGAGAACUACACAGUGGACGCGAGCAUCUUAGAUUCGAACCUUCGGGUUCGGAUCACAAAAGAUGAUCUGAUUUAUUAGAUCAUUGGUCAAUCUGUGUCGAACCUGCUUCGGUAGGUACGACGCCGAUCGAUUCAAACUCAUGUGAU